AGAGUUUGAUCAUGGCUCAGAUUGAACGCUGGCGGCAGGCCUAACACAUGCAAGUCGAACGGUAACAGGAAGCAGCUUGCUGCUUUGCUGACGAGUGGCGGACGGGUGAGUAAUGUCUGGGAAACUGCCUGAUGGAGGGGGAUAACUACUGGAAACGGUGGCUAAUACCGCAUAACGUCGCAAGACCAAAGAGGGGGACCUUCGGGCCUCUUGCCAUCAGAUGUGCCCAGAUGGGAUUAGCUUGUUGGUGAGGUAACGGCUCACCAAGGCGACGAUCCCUAGCUGGUCUGAGAGGAUGACCAGCCACACUGGAACUGAGACACGGUCCAGACUCCUACGGGAGGCAGCAGUGGGGAAUAUUGCACAAUGGGCGCAAGCCUGAUGCAGCCAUGCCGCGUGUAUGAAGAAGGCCUUCGGGUUGUAAAGUACUUUCAGCGGGGAGGAAGGUGUUGUGGUUAAUAACCACAGCAAUUGACGUUACCCGCAGAAGAAGCACCGGCUAACUCCGUGCCAGCAGCCGCGGUAAUACGGAGGGUGCAAGCGUUAAUCGGAAUUACUGGGCGUAAAGCGCACGCAGGCGGUCUGUCAAGUCGGAUGUGAAAUCCCCGGGCUCAACCUGGGAACUGCAUUCGAAACUGGCAGGCUUGAGUCUUGUAGAGGGGGGUAGAAUUCCAGGUGUAGCGGUGAAAUGCGUAGAGAUCUGGAGGAAUACCGGUGGCGAAGGCGGCCCCCUGGACAAAGACUGACGCUCAGGUGCGAAAGCGUGGGGAGCAAACAGGAUUAGAUACCCUGGUAGUCCACGCCGUAAACGAUGUCUACUUGGAGGUUGUGCCCUUGAGGCGUGGCUUCCGGAGCUAACGCGUUAAGUAGACCGCCUGGGGAGUACGGCCGCAAGGUUAAAACUCAAAUGAAUUGACGGGGGCCCGCACAAGCGGUGGAGCAUGUGGUUUAAUUCGAUGCAACGCGAAGAACCUUACCUGGUCUUGACAUCCACGGGGGCCCGCACAAGCGGUGGAGCAUGUGGUUUAAUUCGAUGCAACGCGAAGAACCUUACCUGGUCUUGACAUCCACGGAAGUUUUCAGAGAUGAGAAUGUGCCUUCGGGAACUGUGAGACAGGUGCUGCAUGGCUGUCGUCAGCUCGUGUUGUGAAAUGUUGGGUUAAGUCCCGCAACGAGCGCAACCCUGUGAGACAGGUGCUGCAUGGCUGUCGUCAGCUCGUGUUGUGAAAUGUUGGGUUAAGUCCCGCAACGAGCGCAACCCUUAUCCUUUGUUGCCAGCGAUUAGGUCGGGAACUCAAAGGAGACUGCCAGUGAUAAACUGGAGGAAGGUGGGGAUGACGUCAAGUCAUCAUGGCCCUUACGACCAGGGCUACACACGUGCUACAAUGGCGCAUACAAAGAGAAGCGACCUCGCGAGAGCAAGCGGACCUCAUAAAGUGCGUCGUAGUCCGGAUUGGAGUCUGCAACUCGACUCCAUGAAGUCGGAAUCGCUAGUAAUCGUGGAUCAGAAUGCCACGGUGAAUACGUUCCCGGGCCUUGUACACACCGCCCGUCACACCAUGGGAGUGGGUUGCAAAAGAAGUAGGUAGCUUAACCUUCGGGAGGGCGCUUACCACUUUGUGAUUCAUGACUGGGGUGAAGUCGUAACAAGGUAACCGUAGGGGAACCUGCGGUUG
rnacentral:rRNA from 1 species